UGGGAUGCUAUUCUACACUAGAUACCUGAAUUUCAAACAGACUUAUCAUAACAAAAAUUACAAACCUUGAUUAAAAACAUACAAAGCAAGGUGCAGCACAAAAAGAUUCCGGCCACACACAAUAUGGGAGGGAAAGUUGGCAGCAGAUAUGCUAGCCCUGCUUGCUACAGUAUUUUUUCAGCUUUUUCUCACCAUUUUCAAAAAACUCCGUUCCUUCAUCUCUUUGUUCCAAUAAUGGAAAAGCAUCCGCUCCUUCUCAAGUGUUCGGAAUUUUCUUUUCUUCAAAUAUUCAAGGCCUUCUCUUUAAUUUCAUCUUCCCCGGACACCGCCAAUAGCGGUAGCUUUAGUGCACCGAGCUGUCCUUUUUUUUUUUGCCGCAAUAUUCGCGCUAAUCUACUUUUGAAUCUCUUUUAAUUUCCCUAAUUUCAUAACUUAGGUGGUUUUUGUUUUUCCUAAUCUCUUUUGAUUGGAAUGUUGGAGCUGUUAUUUAAAUGUUGCAGUAAAAGCUUGGCUAUUUUCCUUAAUAUUCAUCAGGCUAGACACAUGUAAAACAUAUAAUCUAAAAUACAAUUCUAGAAAUCAAAAGCAAUAUGUAUCCUUUAAAAAAAUAUAUUCUUCAUACAAAUAAAAUCAAAGAAAGUUCAAUACAAAUUGAAAGGUGACAAAUUUUUGUAUAGUUGGACAAGAUCUACAGUGAAAAUUUAAGAUUGCUAAUAUAUGAAAAUAGAAGACACCUAAAUAGAUUGUGGAAUAUAGGGUCUAUAUUGUUCCAUUCUGUCAACUGAGAGCUAGGUAUAGAUAGAGUUCUUUUAGGAUAUAGAACAAGGUAGAAUGCAUUUUAAAUCUCGCUUCUGAUUCAUUUUCUCUUGUGUGAGUGUCUUUCUUUCUAUACAUAUGCAUACAUAAAAAUAUGUGUUACAUUACAUAUCCUUCUUGCUGAUGGGCUGACCGUAAUUUAUUCAUUACGUCCUCAUGCAUGUUUGCUGAAGAUGCAGAAAAAGCAAAUUUCGUGGAAUUAAUUGGGUUUCUGAGUCAUUGUAUCUUUUAGUUUGAUUUGGUGAAAUAUUGGUGUGUAGGUUGAGCGGCUAUAAAAUAUGAAGAAUUCUAUAUCUGAACAGUGUUUCUACAUGGAGAGUGAAGAAAAGGAUGAUGAAAAUUUGGAAAGGGAUGAAAAUGAAGAAGGAAAUGAGUCUGAUUUUUCCAAUUACUCCAAUGACAAUGAUUGAUGAAAAUAAUCGCCAACAGAGCAAACCCAAUUCCUU
rnacentral:lncRNA from 1 species